ensembl:lncRNA
GUAUGACCACCAGGGACACUUUCUGCUCCUCUGUGCUAAUGGAAAUGUUCAUCGGCUCUAGGGCUCUUCUAAGGAUUCAUGCACAGUACGUUUACUCCAUGGUCCCAAUAGAGAGCAGAGAUGGUGGAUUUUAUAGUAUUACCUUUACGUAUGCUGAAUAAUAGGUCCUGAAUUAAAGAGAUUAUGUAGUUGUAUUGUUAAACUGACACUAGAGUAAUUACUUAAUGGAUAGUUUUCCAUGGAGGUCAUCAACAGGGACGAAUCGGGAAGAUUUCAUCAUUGAAAGCUUUCUUUCACCAAAAGCUCCUUGUUGAUUCAGCACGACUGCCACUAAACAAGCUGACCAGCUCAAAGAAGACCUGAGCUGCACUCAGUCAAGUUGGAAAACCAAGGCGUCUCUUCAGGAA